AUGUUCAAAUACUGCAAGCUACAAUGAAAAUAUUGGCAGAUUUCAAACAUAGUGACAACAGAUCAACAGAUAUUGACAUCCAACGGCUGAGAAUAGAAAGUGCUCCUCCGGGAUUGGUGCAUCCAGGGUGGAUGGCUCACACCAAUUGGCUGAGGACUGGGAGGCAGCGGAUAAGAAGAGACCGCCAGGGACUGCCAAUUCAUUCAUCCUCGGCCCAACCCAACCGGCAGACCGUUCACUGUGUCAAAAUAUUAUGUUAAUGUUAAUGUGUUUGGAUUUGGAGCAGACAAGAAUGGAAACUGGAAUCAUUACUAUGAGGAAAUCAAAAACACACGUCUGAGAACUGGACAACAUCCUGGAAAGCUGGAAUAUCAAUAUAUCGAGAAACUUCAUAAGCAACGGAAAAUCCAUUUUUUCAGAGGAUGGUAAUCUGGCUUUUGGUGUCUCUCAGGGGCAUUAAGAUAAGCAGCCCCCAGAACUGUAGAAUUAAAAUACUUAAGGAUAGUAGAUCUAAAAAGAAAAAAAAAUGUGUAGUUUUGUUCAUUAGUUGCAUGUUGGGUAUCAGAGAUUACUUAUUUUUGGAAGUGUUUACAUACAAUAAAGUCCUUUCAGUAUACCACCAUACAAAAGAUCUUUUCCAUUUUGUUCAUAAAACAGUUUUACUCCCCUUCGGCAACUUAUUCUUCAUCAUAUUUUGUCCAGUAUAUCCACUAUCUGUCCUCUGCACAUGUUGAAACCAUUUCAGUCUUGUCUCUC
ensembl:lncRNA